AGGAAUUUAACAACUUAAUAUUUCAUUAAUACACUCUUGUCUUGGCGUAGGAAAGCAAAUUGCUAUCACCAGGAAAGAGAGCCUGAAAAGUGAACCUAUCAGGGGAAUGCAGCGUGGGACUUCCUAGAGUUUAUUACCAGUAAGAGAAGCAGUAAACGUUGCAUAGAGAGGAGGAAGAAAGAACUCUGAGAACUAGAGAGAAGGGGAACGACGGCAGAAAGUGUCGCUUGGGUCAAGACAGAAAGAGGAAGGGGACAGCGAAGUCGACCGCAAGCAUCAGUCUUGAGCGUAAAGAGCGACAAGAAAACAAGUACAGAUGUAGGGCAGGUCAUCCCCGCACGCAGGAAAGAGACUAAGACACCUGUCUGCCCCUCCCUCCCUCCUCUCCUCCGUCCCUCUCUCUCAGUGGAUUGGCACACUACCUGGGUCCCUCCAGCCAAUUAGGGCCCAUCUGUACAGCACGCCAUGCAGGCCAAAGCCGGCAAGCCACCGUAGAGGCCCUGCCAGCCUGGUCGAGCCGCUGCAGGGCUCAGGCUGUCUGGGGCCCAGUAUAUCUGCUUCCAUAACAGCCCAUCUGCCCGCGGCUUGGCCUGGUCCACUUUCAUCCCCGGUGGCACAAAAGAUUAGAGACUUUGCUGCCAAUUAAAGCACUUGUUGCGAUACAGUUGUUAGUCGCCCCCCUGUACUUCCAUCUCGAGGGGUGUUAAUCCAGGAGGAUGCUCACUGUCUCAACAUGUUGUUUUUUCCUUCAAACCUGCUACAGCUGAGUUCAUAACACAACAAAUAGAUCUAGUUUAAAGUGAUGGAAUGACAUGAGUUUAUCUUCAUAUUGUGAGGCAAAGCUAACACUAUUUACUAGGGGUGUUACAAUACAUCGAUCUGGAUUGAUAUAUUGAUUCAAUGGUCAACGAUCCAAAAUCAUCGAUGCAAAGUAGCCAUAAAAUAUGCUUUUAUUUUGAAAUUCUUAAGUGAUAAGACACAUAGACGUGUGGCACUUCAUAGUGAACAACAGGAGGUCUAUUUUUAAUGCUUUUUAUUAAAAAGAAUAAAUUGUUUUUCAUUUAAAUGUCUUGAAGAGCCCAGUAAUAAAAUCGUCAAAUCAUAAUUUUGUUGCUUUUUGUGAGUUGAUAUAAAUGUAUUUGAUUUUGUUAAAUGAAAUAUGAUAUUGUCUCACAUCUUUCGCAUUGAAAUCGGAUGAUGGCGUACUUUGUGAUAUCAGCAAAUAUUGUAUCGUUCAUACAAAGAAUCAGCAUAAUAUGGUAUCGAGAUGAAACUUGUGAUUUAGUCCCCGACCUCUUGAUCUACUGGAACAGCAGUCUGGGAAUAAGUGAAGUACAACUACGCAAAUACAGAACCUUUCAAUGAGUUUGGGAAGUAUUUUCCGUGGUUUGACAUUUAGGUGUGGCAAAGUGACUCAUAUCUGUUUUUGUUACAGUAAAGAGCAUGGAAAUGCCUUCAAGUCUUUCUUUCUUGUGGACGUUCCCCAACAGGCACACUUUAGUGUUUGUAUGUGCCAUUUUUAGUUUAAUUGCCGGUUUCAUGAAGCAGGUGUCACAAGCCAAAGGCUUUCAUUUUGUUGUCAGGAGGCUGCACUAUUAUUAGUGAUUUGAUUUAUAGUCAGAAAUGCUACUAGCUUGCCACUGCGUUCACUAGCAGAGGAAUAAUAAGAACGCCUUUUUGUGAAAGCUUCGGGGCUGAAAUCAUUAGUUGGUUCAUCAGUCGACUGAAAGUAAUAAACUCUUUUGAUAACCGAUCAAUCAUGUAACUCAAAUGCGCCAAACAUUUUGAAGAUUUACUGCUUUUCUCUGUUUUAUAUCAAGGUGAAUUAAAUAUCUUUGG